CUAGUUGAAAAUUUUCUAAAGCCAAAAUGCAGCUGUAUUUAAUAAUUUGUUUUGCGAUCUUUUGUCUGCUAAUCACCAUAGAAGCCUUACCAUUACCUUUAGGUCAAAUGGCUGAGGCACUGUCCACUGAGCCUGAAAUGGAUUUUCCAGAUCUUGAUCUUUCGGAGAUGUAAGACCGCCUUCUAACCCGCUAUUUUUCGUUCUGGCUCGCCACAUAUUUGGAACAAAAUUUUUAAUUAAAACAAACAAUAUGUUACCUAAAUUGUUGUUGCUGCUUUUUGGAGUCCUCGUUGCUGUACAAAAUUGCAGUUGCUGGGCCAGAGGCUGCGGCGAGUUGUUGUUAAUGCAUUUACUCGGCUUAAUUAGUUGAGAUUUUACAUUAUUCAUACGCCAUGUGUGACCAGCGGCCACCCACUCGAACCCAACUACGACUCCCAUGCCAGUGUGUGCGCUGAUGCCUGCCGUCUCCUUCUUUUCCUGACAACAUCAUAAUUUUCACUUAAUUAAAGUUGUCGUUGUUGUGGGUGCUGAGUUUGAGGUUUGGCCCGAGGUGCAUUCGUCUAUAAAGUCGAGAGGAAGUGGAAAAUACAUGGCUAUGUACUGAAAA